AUUGAACGCUGGCGGCAGGCCUAACACAUGCAAGUCGAACGAGUGGCGGACGGGUGAGUAAUGUCUGUGAAACUGCCUGAUGGCGGGGGAUAACUACUGGAAACGGUAGCUAAUACCGCAUACCAUCGGAUGUUCCCUGAUGGGUUUAGCUAGUAGGUGGGGUAAAGGCUCACCUAGUCGACGAUCCCUAGCUGGUCUUAGAGGAUGACCAGCCACACUGGAACUGAGACACGGUCCAGACUCCUACGGGAGGCAGCAGUGGGGAAUAUUGCAUAAUGGGCGCAAGCCUGAUGCAGCCAUGCCGCGUGUAUGAAGAAGGCCUUCGGGUUGUAAAGUACUUUCAGCGGGGAGGCGUUACCCGAAGAAGAAGCACCGGCUAACUCCGUGCCAGCAGCCGCGGUAAUAG
rnacentral:rRNA from 1 species